UCCUGGACAUGGAAGAAACAGCACCAUAAAUUGGAUGCUGAUUCAGAGCAUAUACAGCCUUCUGCAGAACUUUGCCCCAGCCCUGAAAUAUGUUGCCAACUAGCUAGUGCUGUAACUGAAGCUCCAAAAGGCCAUUCCACUGUACUAUCAAACCAGCUGCUUCAGGAUGGUGAAGAACAUGGUCAAGUAAAAAUUGAGUGGGCUUCCUAUCUAUUUCACUUCGAGAAACACCAGGAUUAACUAGCCAACACCAUAGGUCUGCAUGAGUCAGAUUAUUCUGAUUGCUGCAUUGAAUCUGCUGUCCGCAGACCCUGAGACAGGGAUUCCAGGCAAGGAGUUAAUGUGAGAAGUGAUCCCAGUGAAGUGGGU
rnacentral:lncRNA from 1 species